rnacentral:rRNA from 1 species
CCUAUACUGCAAGUCGAACGAAGCCUUCGGGCUUAGUGGCGAACGGGUGCGUAACGCGUGGGAACCUGCCCUUAGGUUCGGAAUAACAGUUAGAAAUGACUGCUAAUGCCGGAUAAUGUCUUCGGACCAAAGAUUUAUCGCCUUUGGAUGGGCCCGCGUAGGAUUAGGUAGUUGGUGUGGUAAUGGCGCACCAAGCCGACGAUCCUUAGCUGGUCUGAGAGGAUGAUCAGCCACACUGGGACUGAGACACGGCCCAGACUCCUACGGGAGGCAGCAGUAGGGAAUAUUGGACAAUGGGCGAAAGCCUGAUCCAGCAAUGCCGCGUGAGUG